UAUUCCUAGAACUCUAUAAAUAGGACCUAGCACCAAGCAUUUUUCAUUCAUCAAGCUAAGUUCAGAGGCUGCAAGUUGCUAGGUUAUUGUGAGAGUGUAAACACUUGGGUUGGGGAUUAUAAGCUUGAUCAUCAUAAGCUUAUCAAACACUUUGGGAAGUGAGGUUCGUUAGUAUCUCGGUUGUGGUUAGAUUGGUCUUUCAAGUCUUUGAGGAAAUCUAAGCUCUUGAGCACAUAAGUUUUGGGUAAGUGUACUUUCAAUGGUUUAGUCUUCCCAUUUUCCUUUUCAUCUCUUUUCUUCUUUAGACUCACUCUUUCUAAUGGUUAUUAGGAGUGUUCCAAAAAGUCCCAACUCAGUCCACAUAUCCCGGUAACUUUGGAAAAUAAGCUUUAGAGGCGGUAAGAUUCGUGACGCUUAGAGGAUGUGUAUCGAUGGUGGAUGGAGUCAAGGAGCCGAGCGUUAUUCGAUUCGAGGAUGUAGUCUUGUUUAUGUUUUUAUGGUUUUAAAUGUAUUUUCCACAUUUUCUAUGUAAUUCUUUUUACUUUAAGUUAUUUUUGUUUUAAAGACAAUGGGUACCCAUAUCCUAUUUAUUUUAUGAAAGUAACCUUUGUUUCUACAAGUUUCUAAUAAAGUAUGGUAUUUCCGCAAAAA